rnacentral:rRNA from 1 species
UCGACCUGAGCUCAGGCAAGACUACCCGCUGAACUUAAGCAUAUCAAUAAGCGGAGGAA